rnacentral:misc_RNA from 1 species
UUGGAAUGGCUAUUUGAUUCUAAUUUCUAAGAUAACAAAAGCAAGAUGAUUUUAAAUAUUGGAAUGAUUACCAGAAUUAGUGAUGAGUAGGUAAGGAAAUGCUACCAAACAAUUGUUGGUGGAAAUCCAUAAAUAAAGGAAAAUAUUUCUUUGCAAAUCUGGUUUGUCUGGUCAAAUAUUUUGACUUCCAAAUCUUUUUUUAG